rnacentral:rRNA from 1 species
GUGCCUAAUACAUGCAAGUCGAACGGCUUUCUAUGGAAGCUGCUCCACUGAGAAGAUAGUGGCGAACGGGUGAGUAACACGUGGGUAACCCUGCCCAUAAGAGGGGGGAUAACAUCCGGAAACGGGUGCUAAUACCGCAUAGUUUUCUUGAUCGCAUGAUUGAGAAAGGAAAGACGGCCUUUGUGCUGUCGCUUAUGGAUGGACCCGCGGCGUAUUAGUUAGUUGGUGAGGUAACGGCUCACCAAGACGAUGAUACGUAGCCGACCUGAGAGGGUGAUCGGCCACAUUGGGACUGAGACACGGCCCAAACUCCUACGGGAGGCAGCAGUAGGGAAUCUUCCGCAAUGGACGAAAGUCUGACGGAGCAACGCCGCCGUGAGUGAAGAAGGUCGUGAGGUUGUAAAGUUCUUUUCGGGAGGGGGAACAACCGUGGCAGGGAAUGGCCGCGGGAUGACGUGAAUCCCGGAAUAAGCCCCGGCUAACUACGUGCCAGCCGCUGC